rnacentral:tRNA from 3 species
GCGCCUAUAGCUCAGUGGAUAGAGCAUCGGUCUCCGGAACCGAGUGCGAGGGUUCGACUCCCUCUAGGCGCUCCA